rnacentral:rRNA from 1 species
UUGGAGGGCAAGUCUGGUGCCAGCAGCCGCGGUAAUUCCAGCUCCAAUAGCGUAUAUUAAAGUUGUUGCAGUUAAAAAGCUCGUAGUUGAAUUUCGGGAUUGACACAUCGGUCGUGCCUUAAGGGGUAUGAACUGGUGUAGUCAAUUUCUCACCUUCUGGAGAACCGCGAUGCCCUUAAUUGGGUGUCGCGGGGAACCAGGACCUUUACUUUGAAAAAAUUAGAGUGUUUAAAGCAGGCAUUUUGCUUGAAUACAUUAGCAUGGAAUAAUAAAAUAGGACGGCAUGAUUCUAUUUUGUUGGUUUCUAGGAUCACCGUAAUGAUUAAUAGGGAUAGUUGGGGGCAUUAGUAUUCAAUUGUCAGAGGUGAAAUUCUUGGAUUUAUUGAAGACUGACUACUGCGAAAGCAUUUGCCAAGGAUGUCUUCAUUAAUCAAGAACGAAAGUUAGGGGAUCGAAGACGAUCAGAUACCGUCGUAGUCUUAACCAUAAACUAUGCCGACUAGGAAUCAGACGAUGUUAAUUUUUUAAUGACUCGUUUGGCACCUUACGGGAAACCAAAGUGUUUGGGUUC